GAUGAACGCUGACAGAAUGCUUAACACAUGCAAGUCAACUUGAAUUUGGGUUUUUAACUUAGGUUUGGGUGGCGGACGGGUGAGUAACGCGUAAAGAACUUGCCUCACAGCUAGGGACAACAUUUGGAAACGAAUGCUAAUACCUAAUAUUAUGAUAAUAGGGCAUCCUAUAAUUAUGAAAGCUAUAAGCGCUGUGAGAGGGCUUUGCGUCCCAUUAGCUAGUUGGCGAGGUAACGGCUCACCAAGGCGAUGAUGGGUAGCCGGCCUGGAAGGGUGAUAGGCCACAGAGGGCCUGGGGAACGGCCCUUACUGAUACGGGCGGAAGCAGUGAGAAAUAGUGGACGAAGGACCGCGAGUCUGAUGCAGCAAUUCUGUGUGUACGAUGAAGUUAUUCGGAAUGUAAAGUGCUUUAAGUUGGGAAGAAACAAAUGACGGUACCAACAGAAGAAGUGACGGCUAAAUACGUG
rnacentral:rRNA from 1 species